rnacentral:rRNA from 1 species
ACGAUAUGCUUUGGGGAGCUGUAAGUAAGCUUUGAUCCAGAGAUUUCCGAAUGGGGAAACCCAGCAUGAGUUAUGUCAUGUUAUCGAUAUGUGAAUACAUAGCAUAUCAGAAGGCACACCCGGAGAACUGAAACAUCUUAGUACCCGGAGGAAGAGAAAGAAAAUUCGAUUCCCUUAGUAGCGGCGAGCGAAACGGGAAGAGCCCAAACCAACAAGCUUGCUUGUUGGGGUUGUAGGACACUCUAUACGGAGUUACAAAGGACGACAUUAGACGAAUCAUCUGGAAAGAUGAAUCAAAGAAGGUAAUAAUCCUGUAGUCGAAAAUGUUGUCUCUCUUGAGUGGAUCCUGAGUACGACGGAGCACGUGAAAUUCCGUCGGAAUCUGGGAGGACCAUCUCCUAAGGCUAAAUACUCUCUAGUGACCGAUAGUGAACCAGUACCGUGAGGGAAAGGUGAAAAGCACCCCGGAAGGGGAGUGAAAUAGAACCUGAAACCGUGUGCUUACAAGUAGUCAGAGCCCGUUAAUGGGUGAUGGCGUGCCUUUUGUAGAAUGAACCGGCGAGUUACGAUUUGAUGCAAGGUUAAGCAGUAAAUGUGGAGCCGUAGCGAAAGCGAGUCUGAAUAGGGCGUUUAGUAUUUGGUCGUAGACCCGAAACCAGGUGAUCUACCCUUGGUCAGGUUGAAGUUCAGGUAACACUGAAUGGAGGACCGAACCGACUUACGUUGAAAAGUGAGCGGAUGAACUGAGGGUAGCGGAGAAAUUCCAAUCGAACCUGGAGAUAGCUGGUUCUCUCCGAAAUAGCUUUAGGGCUAGCCUCAAGUGAUGAUUAUUGGAGGUAGAGCACUGUUUGGACGAGGGGCCCCUCUCGGGUUACCGAAUUCAGACAAACUCCGAAUGCCAAUUAAUUUAACUUGGGAGUCAGAACAUGGGUGAUAAGGUCCNGGGUGAGAAUCCCGUCCACCGAUUGACUAAGGUUUCCAGAGGAAGGCUCGUCCGCUCUGGGUUAGUCGGGUCCUAAGCUGAGGCCGACAGGCGUAGGCGAUGGAUAACAGGUUGAUAUUCCUGUACCACCUAUAAUCGUUUUAAUCGAUGGGGGGACGCAGUAGGAUAGGCGAAGCGUGCGAUUGGAUUGCACGUCUAAGCAGUAAGGCUGAGUAUUAGGCAAAUCCGGUACUCGUUAAGGCUGAGCUGUGAUGGGGAGAAGACAUUGUGUCUUCGAGUCGUUGAUUUCACACUGCCGAGAAAAGCCUCUAGAUAGAAAAUAGGUGCCCGUACCGCAAACCGACACAGGUAGUCAAGAUGAGAAUUCUAAGGUGAGCGAGCGAACUCUCGUUAAGGAACUCGGCAAAAUGACCCCGUAACUUCGGGAGAAGGGGUGCUCUUUAGGGUUAACGCCCAGAAGAGCCGCAGUGAAUAGGCCCAAGCGACUGUUUAUCAAAAACACAGGUCUCUGCUAAACCGUAAGGUGAUGUAUAGGGGCUGACGCCUGCCCGGUGCUGGAAGGUUAAGAGGAGUGGUUAGCUUCUGCGAAGCUACGAAUCGAAGCCCCAGUAAACGGCGGCCGUAACUAUAACGGUCCUAAGGUAGCGAAAUUCCUUGUCGGGUAAGUUCCGACCCGCACGAAAGGCGUAACGAUUUGGGCACUGUCUCAACGAGAGACUCGGUGAAAUCAUAGUACCUGUGAAGAUGCAGGUUACCCGCGACAGGACGGAAAGACCCCGUGGAGCUUUACUGUAGCCUGAUAUUGAAAUUCGGCACAGCUUGUACAGGAUAGGUAGGAGCCUUUGAAACGUGAGCGCUAGCUUACGUGGAGGCGCUGGUGGGAUACUACCCUAGCUGUGUUGGCUUUCUAACCCGCACCACUUAUCGUGGUGGGAGACAGUGUCAGGCGGGCAGUUUGACUGGGGCGGUCGCCUCCUAAAAGGUAACGGAGGCGCUCAAAGGUUCCCUCAGAAUGGUUGGAAAUCAUUCAUAGAGUGUAAAGGCAUAAGGGAGCUUGACUGCGAGACCUACAAGUCGAGCAGGGUCGAAAGACGGACUUAGUGAUCCGGUGGUUCCGCAUGGAAGGGCCAUCGCUCAACGGAUAAAAGCUACCCCGGGGAUAACAGGCUUAUCUCCCCCAAGAGUUCACAUCGACGGGGAGGUUUGGCACCUCGAUGUCGGCUCAUCGCAUCCUGGGGCUGUAGUCGGUCCCAAGGGUUGGGCUGUUCGCCCAUUAAAGCGGUACGCGAGCUGGGUUCAGAACGUCGUGAGACAGUUCGGUCCCUAUCCGUCGUGGGCGUAGGAAAUUUGAGAGGAGCUGUCCUUAGUACGAGAGGACCGGGAUGGACAUACCUCUGGUGUACCAGUUGUCGUGCCAACGGCAUAGCUGGGUAGCUAUGUGUGGACGGGAUAAGUGCUGAAAGCAUCUAAGCAUGAAGCCCCCCUCAAGAUGAGAUUUCCCAACUUCGGUUAUAAGAUCCCUCAAAGAUGAUGAGGUUAAUAGGUUCGAGGUGGAAGCAUGGUGACAUGUGGAGCUGACGAAUACUAAUCGAUCGAAGACUUAAUCAA